AAGUCGUAACAAGGUUUCCGUAGGUGAACCUGCGGAAGGAUCAUUACAUUCAGUAGCUUGCUACUGGUCGGGAGGCGCUGUAACUCCGCAUAGUAUUCAUUUACUGAUGAGCGGCUGGCCCUCUGUCUGUACCCUUGUCUUUUGCGCACUCAUGUUUCCUCGGCGGGCUUGCCGCCGAUUGGACAAACUAUAACCUUUUAAUUUCAAUCAGCGUCUGAAAACUUAAUAUUACAA
rnacentral:misc_RNA from 1 species